UUCCGGUUGAUCCUGCCGGAGGCCAUUGCUAUCGGAGUUCGAUUUAGCCAUGCUAGUCGCACGAGUUCAUACUCGUGGCAGAUAGCUCAGUGACACGUGGCCAAACUACCCUAUGGAUCAGAACAACCUCGGGAAACUGAGGCUAAUUCUGAAUAAGGCUCCUCGCCUGGAAUGGCACGAGCUGGAAAUGCUACGGCGCCAUAGGAUGUGGCUGCGGCCGAUUAGGUAGACGGUGGGGUAACGGCCCACCGUGCCCAUAAUCGGUACGGGUUGUGAGAGCAAGAGCCCGGAGACGGUAUCUGAGACAAGAUACCGGGCCCUACGGGGCGCAGCAGGCGCGAAAACUUUACACUGCACGACAGUGCGAUAAGGGAACUCCGAGUGCGAGGGCAUAUCGUCCUCGCUUUUCUGUACCGUAGGGAGGUACAGGAAUAAGAGCUGGGCAAGACCGGUGCCAGCCGCCGCGGUAACACCGGCAGCUCGAGUGAUGGCCGAUAUUAUUGGGCCUAAAGCGUCCGUAGCCAGCUGAACAGGUCCGUCGGGAAAUCUGCUCGCUCAACGAGCAGGCGUCCGGCGGAAACCAGUCAGCUUGGGAUCGGAAGACCCGAGGGGUACGUCUGGGGUAGGAGUGAAAUCCCGUAAUCCUGGACGGACCACCGGUGGCGAAAGCGCCUCGGGAAGACGAAUCCGACGGUGAGGGACGAAAGCUAGGGUCACGAACCGGAUUAGAUACCCGGGUAGUCCUAGCCGUAAACGAUGCUCACUAGGUGUGGCACUGGCUACGAGCCAGUGCUGUGCCGUAGGGAAGCCGUGAAGUGAGCCGCCUGGGAAGUACGUCCGCAAGGAUGAAACUUAAAGGAAUUGGCGGGGGAGCACUACAACCGGAGGAGCCUGCGGUUUAAUUGGACUCAACGCCGGU
rnacentral:rRNA from 1 species